ACCCUCUUACAAUGAACAACACAUGGACACUCUCGGGAUGAUCCCUUUGCUUUCAUUAAGAGUUCCAAGAUGUUGGUCUGAUUGACUGGGGUGUGAAAUGUAACAGCCAAUGGUGUACUUAAGCUAAGACUGUCAGUCCCAAUAUUCAAGAGG